rnacentral:rRNA from 1 species
GAUGAACGCUAGCUACAGGCUUAACACAUGCAAGUCGAGGGGAAACGAUAUUGGAAGCUUGCUUCCGAUAGGCGUCGACCGGCGCACGGGUGAGUAACGCGUGUCCAACCUGCCCAUCACUUGGGGAUAACCUUGCGAAAGUAAGACUAAUACCCAAUGACGUCUCUAGAAGACAUCUGAAAGAGAUUAAAGAUUUAUCGGUGAUGGAUGGGGAUGCGUCUGAUUAGCUUGUUGGCGGGGUAACGGCCCACCAAGGCGACGAUCAGUAGGGGUUCUGAGAGGAAGGUCCCCCACAUUGGAACUGAGACACGGUCCAAACGCCUACGGGAGGCAGCAGUGAGGAACAUUGGUCAAUGGGCGAGAGCCCGAACCAGCCAAGUAGCGUGCAGGAUGACGGCCCUAUGGGUUGUAAACUGCUUUUAUAAGGGAAUAAAGUGGGAGUCGUGACUCCUUUUGCAUGUACCUUAUGAAUAAGGACCGGCUAAUUCCGUGCCAGCCGCCGCCGUAA